AUUGAACGCUGGCGGCAGGCCUAACACAUGCAAGUCGAGCGGAUGAAGGGAGCUUGCUCCUGGAUUCAGCGGCGGACGGGUGAGUAAUGCCUAGGAAUCUGCCUGGUAGUGGGGGAUAACGUCCGGAAACGGGCGCUAAUACCGCAUACGUCCUGAGGGAGAAAGUGGGGGAUCUUCGGACCUCACGCUAUCAGAUGAGCCUAGGUCGGAUUAGCUAGUUGGUGGGGUAAAGGCCUACCAAGGCGACGAUCCGUAACUGGUCUGAGAGGAUGAUCAGUCACACUAGAACUGGGACAGGGUCCAGACUCCUACGGGAGGCAGCAGUGGGGAAUAUUGGACAAUGGGCGAAAGCCUGAUCCAGCCAUGCCGCGUGUGUGAAGAAGGUCUUCGGAUUGUAAAGCACUUUAAGUUGGGAGGAAGGGCAGUAAGUUAAUACCUUGCUGUUUUGACGUUACCAACAGAAUAAGCACCGGCUAACUUCGUG
rnacentral:rRNA from 1 species